AAAUAGUUUCGGUAGGUGAGGUUACCUUAGGGAUACGGGUUGCUGCCGCGAAAUAGUGGAGACACUAUUAGAUGGUUAGCAGUAUACGUCGGAGAAGGCGUAUUCUAAUGCAAUUACAUUGCCCUAAGAAGCUAAAGCUUGGACGAAGAUUAUUAAG
rfam:Clostridium sp. JC272 Contig25, whole genome shotgun sequence.